AUGAGAGGUAAUCUUGGAGCAAGACCACCACAACAACGUGCUUCAAGAAGGCCAAUUUAUGUUGAAGCUUCUGAAGGUGAAGAGUAUGAUGAUGCCCUUGGGGAACCUGAUCUCUAUGCAUAUCGGAGAGUACCGAACCCUACAUAUGCAAGAGAAACAUACAAGGUGAACGUUGUGAUCCCAACUUUUAAUGGAAAUGUUGAUAUUGAAGGGUGCCUAGAUUGUUUAUAUGAAGUGGAGACUUUCUUUGAGGUAAUGGAGGUUCCGAAAGAUCAUAGAGUUCCUUUGAUCGCAUACAAGCUGAAAGGAGGAGCCAGUGCAUGGUGGCAGCGCGUUCAAAAAGAGCGCAUGCUGAGAGGAGAACCUCGUGUGAGAACUUGGCGGCAAAUGAAAAGUCUCUUGAAAGGGAUAUUUUUGCCCGCUGACUAUGACCGGAUCCUAUCUAUGCAAUUCCAAAAUUGUGCUUAA
rnacentral:rRNA from 1 species